UACGUAGGUGGCAAGCGUUGUCCGGAUUUAUUGGGUUUAAAGGGUGCGUAGGCGGUCCAUUAAGUCGGUUGUGAAAUACGGCAGCUUAACUGUCGAGGUGCAAUUGAUACUGGAGGACUUGAGUACAGACGAGGUAGGCGGAAUUGACGGUGUAGCGGUGAAAUGCAUAGAUAUCGUCAAGAACACCGAUAGCGAAGGCAGCUUACUAGACUGUAACUGACGCUGAGGCACGAAAGUGCGGGGAUCAAACAGG
rnacentral:rRNA from 1 species